GAUGAACGCUGGCGGCAUGCCUAACACAUGCAAGUCGAACGAAGGCAUCGGGCGUUGUCGCGCCCGGUUGUGGCACCCGUCGGAAUCUUCCUUUCGGGUUGGCAUAACUAAGGGACACUUGUGACUAUACCGGAUAACGUCUCAAGACCAAAGAUUUUUUACCGCACGAUGAGCCCGCGUAGGAUUAGCUCUUUGGGGAGGUAAAGGAUCACCAAGGCGACGAUCCCUAGCUGGUUUGGGAGGAUGCUCAGCCACACUGGGACUAAGACACGGCCCAGACUCCUACGGGAGGCAGCAGUGGGGAAUAUAGGACAACGGGGGAAAGCCUGAUCCAGCAAUGCUGCGUGAGUGAUGAAGGCCUUAGGGUUGUAAAGCGCUUUUACCCGGGAAGAUAAUGACGGUACCGGAUGAAUAAGCCCCGGCUAACUCCGUG
rnacentral:rRNA from 1 species